UGUCAUAUCAACGAUUCCUGAGGAUUUAUUUCAAAAACUGCCACAUCUUGUUUGGCUGGAUCUCCGGUAUAACAAGAUUAAAGCUCUUCCCCCUGGAAUCGGUUACCACAGGCAAUUGAAAACUCUGCUUUUGGAAAGGAAUCCCAUAAAAGAGCUACCCACAGAGCUUGGAAACUUAACUUCAUUGAGAGCCUUGGAUCUGAGACACUGUCCCCAUGAAUUUCCACCCCAAGGUAUCAUACAAAACGGAUUAAAAUCCAUCCUCUGCUUUCUUCAGGAUUCUGGGAA